ensembl:lncRNA
AGCCCGAAGAGGCCGAGAAGGAUCCUCCUCGAGAGCCGUCAGAGGGAGCACGGCCUGCCGACACCGUGAUCUGGGACUCUCGGCCUCCCAACCUGUGAGACAGUACGUCGCUGUUGUUCUAAACCAAGUUUUGUGGGAACUAACACACGCAGGCAGUCCGUGCUGGAGCUGAGAUUCCGACUGAGGCCCUCUGGUCCCAGACCCCCCGCCCCAUAGGAGGCCAGCGGCCAGCUCAGUGCUGGGACACGGUGUAGCUCACCUGUGCGGGGGUGGAGGCGGCAGCUAAGAACUCCGCCGAGAGGCAAUGGGCAACAUUUAUUGUUUGGCCGUCCACAUUCUCAGAAGACUAAAAAUACAAAGAAAGAUGACAAACAUCUCCAACAAGACCAAAACUGUCGCCUGACUCCCCAGCCUGCAGCAACAGAACAGUGCAUCCUGAACACCGCGUACCGCAGAGAGGGGCAGGCGUGUCCAUCGUUCUCUUCUUCCAACCGACAUUCCACUCCGGGCGGAGGGGGCGAUGAGCCUAUCACAUUCCAUCAAGAAGUUAAUUGCUUUGCUGCUCCAGCCAAGUGGAAUGAGGCCAGAGGGAAAAGGUCUUCCCAGGUGGGGCAGCUGAGAGGCCUUCUGCAAACCCACCCUCCUCAAGCCUCUGCACACCCCAGGGGCAGCGCUGGGCCCCAGACUCGGGUGCUGGGAGCUGGACAGAAGCACAGCCCACACCCUGCCCCAGGAGGAGGGUCUGCACCACUGAUCUUGAGCAGCCAGCCUCAAAUGGAGGUGCUGGUGAGCGAGGGCAGGGGACACACGAGCAAUAUCAUUCACUAAAUCAGUGGAGCCCAACAAACAUUUGUUAAUCACCUGCUGAGUUCAAGGAGUUAAAGUGCAAAGAUACAAGGAAAUGUUUUUUCUCCUAAGCCAACAAUGACCUACAGCAAUUUGUUAAAUUAUACCUUUGGCUAACUUUAGGAGUCCACCUGCAUCACUGCCUUCCAAAAUGAGUUUAACCAAACUGACCUACUGUCAGGAUUAAGAGACUGGUUCAGUGAGAUGGAACAAUCUACCAAUUCGGCUUCUGGACUGAGAACUUCUUGGAGAAGUUUCAAAGAUUCCAGCUGGGCCCUCAGCACCUGCAACAUUCAGAAGCCUGAGGAAACCGGAUGGCCUGAGAGGAGAGCCUGAGGCUGCUGAGCUGGGACAGAGCCAGGCCCAGUGGAAGCUGGUGUCCCUCAAUGAAAGACUUGGGCCAUGGGAUCCAGGCUUCCCACUGGGCAGUGAGCACUGUCUUCCCAUACAGAUGUCAGAAUAACACCCACUGAGCACCUACAACCAACUUCAGCUUCGUCCAAAUCCCUCUCACUGAGGGGUUUCAACCUGUGAUGUGGGGGGUUAAAAUAGAAAGCAGGGGUUGUCUGAGUCCCACUAAGUUUGCUCUCUGACUAUAGAAAUCUUAAUACUGAAUCUUCAGAAACCCAAUUUGGCUAUCCAGUUUAGUCUUAGCCCCACAUCUCCCAAACCUCAACCUCUUUGUUAGCCACAAAGAGCCCCAUAAAGACUGAAUCCACCCCUGCCACCCCACGGCACACCCUGCCUUGCUCUGUCUGUCCGCCCUCACUCUAGUCUAAAUCACAGCCUCAGGUCCUCUCGGUGCACGAGAUAAAAGACCAGCUAGCUGGACGAUGGCGACCCUCACCUUGGAACUUGCUAUUCGUUUCCCGCUUAGGGGCCUUAAAGGUAAAUACAAAUUAAAAACGAGGAGCUGAAUUCCCCUUGCUGAAAAUAAGGGAAGAGAAUUUUCUCCCCUUCCUUUUCUUAGAGUAUUUACUUUAGAAAACUUGUAAGUUCUUUCUCUGUCUCUUUGAAAUAUAUGUUCAUAAAUCUUUUUUAGAACCUGAAUAAGCCUCUUGUCAGCUUUAUGACCCAGGCAUGUCUUUCUCAAGGACCUGGGAGCCAUUUCCUUGAAAGGUAAACAUCAAGGGAGAUCGCCUGUCUCCCAGUUUCUGUGGGAGACAGGAGUAUCACUUUGGCAGGUGUCUGGAAUUGAGCUGUAAAACUACUUCUUGUCGUAAAGAUAGGAGAAGUUUAUAUUUCCUUUGUAUAAAAUCAAUUAACUAAGACAGAUGGUGACCCCAAUUACCAGAUAAAUUUAAGAUGAACUCUGUUUGACAAAUGGUGCUAUCCGGUCCUCUUACUUGAGGACUAGUUCUGGUUUAUCUCAAGGACAUGUAUGUAAUGGGUCAUAUCUGCUUGGCUAUAUAAG